GACGAACGCUGGCGGCGUGCUUAACACAUGCAAGUCGAACGGUGAACCUCUUCGGAGGGGAUCAGUGGCGAACGGGUGAGUAACACGUGGGCAACCUGCCCCCGGCUCUGGGAUAACUCCAAGAAAUUGGGGCUAAUACCGGAUGUUCACCGCUUCCCGCAUGGGUGGUGGUGCAAAGGGUUUCCGGCUGGGGAUGGGCCCGCGGCCUAGCGGCUUGUUGGUGGGGUAGUGGCCUACCAAGGCGACGGCGGGUAGCCGGCCUGGGAGGGUGGCCGGCCGCGCGGGGACGGGGGGAGGGCGCAGGCGGGUAGGGGGGGGAGGGGUGGGGAGGAGGGCGGGGGGGGGGGGAGGGGGGCGCAGCGGGGGCGGGGGGGGGAUGACGGCCUGCGGGUUGUAAACCGCUGUGGGCGGGGACGGGGCGGGAGUGACGGUACCUGCAGAAGAAGCGCCGGCGAACUACGUG
rnacentral:rRNA from 1 species